UCCAGGGUAGCCUAGUGGACAUGGAAUCUGCCCCAUGGCAUAAGCGGAAAACUGUGGGUUCGAUUCCCAUCCCUGGAC